rnacentral:rRNA from 1 species
GUCGAGCGCCGUUCCAUACGGAGAAAAAGACGGGAGAGUAUCCGUGGGAACGAGCCCUUUGGUUCGGAACAACCCAGGGAAACUUGGGCUAAUACCUGACAAGCCCUUACGGGGAAAGAUUUAUCGCCGAAGGAUCGGCCCGCGUCUGAUUAGCUAGUUGGUGGGGUAAUGGCCCACCAAGGCGACGAUCAGUAGCUGGUCUGAGAGGAUGAUCAGCCUCACUGGGACUGAGACACGGCCCAGACUCCUACGGGAGGCAGCAGUGGG